AAGAGAAAGCUUUGGGAGAGCAGGCUUGACAGACCGUCCCCCAAAAAAUCAAAGUCAUCCAAACCAUAUAUGAAGCCUUAUUCUGCGGAAGAAUGCCUGAUACAAAAGAUACUUAUGUUAAAGUGGGAAGUAUAUGGCAAGCUGUGAAUGUGAGGUUCAACUCAACAUAUUGGCUGUCAUGUAUCAGCAAGGAAAGAAAAUCCAUAAUCCAAGCUGUCUGAAAAUUGCCUGAUAAAAUGUUUGGAGAAAAUUGCCACCCACAUCCUGUAUUCCUCUGCAAGGUAUGGGAGCAUUUCCAGCACUUGUACAAGAUGAGAGAACAUGUGUAUUUAAAAAUGUGGAUACUUACAUUUGAACAUAAAU
rnacentral:lncRNA from 1 species